UACGUAGGGGGCAAGCGUUGUCCGGAAUCAUUGGGCGUAAAGAGCUCGUAGGCGGCUGUUCAAGUCGAACGUGAAAACUCGGAGCUCAACUCCGAGCCUGCGUUCGAGACUGGAUGGCUAGAGUCUGGUAGGGGGAUCUGGAAUUCCUGGUGUGAGCGGUGGAAUGCGCAGAUAUCAGGAGGAACACCGGUGGCGAAGGCGGGAUCCUGGGCCAGUACUGACGCUGAGGAGCGAAAGCGUGGGGAGCAAACAGG
rnacentral:rRNA from 1 species